rnacentral:lncRNA from 1 species
ACCAAAUCAUCAACGGAUGAUCGGGAAAAACUCGACGUUUAUCGACACCAACGGAGAGGAGGAUACUUCACUUGGGAAGGAGGACACAACCAAAUCAUCAACGGAUGAUCGGGAAAAACUCGACGUUUAUCGACACCAACGGAGAGGAGAAUACUCCACUUGGGAAGGAGGACACAACCAAAUCAUCAACGGAUGAUCGGGAAAAACUCGACGUUUAUCGACACCAACGGAGAGGAGAAUACUUCACUUGGGAAGGAGGACACAACCAAAUCAUCAACGGAUGAUCGGGAAAAACUCGACGUUUAUCGACACCAACGGAGAGGAGAAUACUUCACUUGGGAAGGAGGACACAAC